GGCGAGAGAAGCAGCAGCAGCAGCAGCAGCAGCAGCAGAGGGGCCCCAGGCGGUCCCUGUACCCCAGUUUGGGCAGCAGUGGUCCCAGGACACCGGAAACACAUGCCACGGUGAAGUGUGAGAGCAUUGUAAACAAAAGUGAAUAUUGAGCUAGCCUGGGAAGAGGGAAUGCCGUGUGGGAAGCUUUGACUCGACACUCCAGGAUGUUGUGUGAAGUCCUGCUCUCAUCGCUAUGGUUCCUGUUUGUCAUCUUCUGGGUCGAGAUAAUAUGUGUGUGGCUGUUUCUGUGCAUCUUCUAUCAGGACCGAGCGCUCUACCACUGGGGAGAUGGGGUAUUUGCAGAUGAUCCUGGUCAGAUGCUCUACAUGUUGAGCAGAGUUGAUAACAGCAUACAAAGACAGAUGCAGACCUGAGACAGAUGAAAACUCAGGACUCCACAGCAAGAUUUUUUUUUUUUUUUUUUGGUUGUUGGAGUUGUGUGUCUCCUGAUAAUGAAAAUGAGUAGCUGUAUUUCCUUUGCACUGACUGCUGUGCACAUUGUAGUGCACGGUCCUUUGUCAACAUAAUUAACUAUAAGCCCACUUUUAAUGAUAGGUGGGUGGAGGUUUGCAGCACCAGUGAAGGAGAAACGAAGACCUAGGGGGAGGUUCUCAGUGAAUAUGAAACACUUACCUUUUCACUUCAGAUGUUUGUGAAGGAAGACAAGUGUGACUGGAAAUGUUUGGAUAGCAAAUGAUGGAUUGAAUGCAUUUUUUAUCAUUACUCUGAAUUCCAUAUAGAGACUUGCAUAUAAAUGACAUUUUGUUCUUACUGCCAUUCUGUUAAACCACAGUUGUUGCUGCUUGCAGCUAUAUUUGUGUUUUGAAUAUAAAUUGCAACAAAGUUGGUAUUGGUUAGGCCCAAGAAUAUUCUAACCAGUUAUCAGAUUUUUCUGGUGAAUGUUUGAUGUCAUGAUCUUUUAACAAGGAACUAUUUGUGAAUAUGGGAAGUGAGGGAGCUAUGUCCUUGGGUUUGCAUUAAAGUGUGGGAUAGAUCAAGGGUUCACUUUUUUUUUUCAUUCAUUUUCAUUUAGUUGUACAUUACUGUCUAGAAACAGGUGGAAAAUGUUGGGGAGAGUGAACCUUAUGAUACAGAUACUAUGGCAACACAAUUUGUGUCUGCUCUAAUCAGUUCAAAUCAAAUAAUGGUGACAUUAUAGUAAAACAUUUAACACUGAGAACACAGUGAGCACUGUGGUCUGCCUUGACAAUGAUGUGUCCCUGCUUGCUCCAUGAAAUUGACUCGGUUUUGAACAAAACAAACUGAUGCGGCUGGGCUCAAUUUGUAUCUGAGAGGAAGUGUGUGUACGCUGUUUUUGUAUUCAUUUCAAUGCUGAAUAAAAGCAAGUAUUUUGCCUAAAUAAACUAGACGCUGCACA